UACUACCGAAGCUACGGCAUCAGUAAUGAUGGGUAGGGGAGCUUCCCAUACGGGUUGAAGCAUGACCGUAAGGACAUGUGGACAGUAUGGGAGUGAGAAUGUUGGCAUGAGUAGCGAGAUGUGGGUGGGAAUCCCACAGGCCGUAAACCCAAGGUUUCCAGGGGAAGGUUCGUCCACCCUGGGUUAGUCGGGACCUAAGCUGAGGCCGAAAGGCGUAGGUGAUGGACAACAGGUUGAUAUUCCUGUACUACCGAUAACCGUUUGAGAGAAGGGAUGACACAGUAGGAUAAGCUAAGCACACGGUUGGUUAUGUGUGCCCAAGCAUUGAGGCAGUCAAAGUAGGCAAA
rnacentral:rRNA from 1 species